rnacentral:rRNA from 1 species
UGGGGAAUAUUGGACAAUGGGCGAAAGCCUGAUCCAGCCAUGCCGCGUGUGUGAAGAAGGUCUUCGGAUUGUAAAGCACUUUAAGUUGGGAGGAAGGGCAUUAACCUAAUACGUUAGUGUUUUGACGUUACCGACAGAAUAAGCACCGGCUAACUCUGUGCCAGCAGCCGCGGUAAUACAGAGGGUGCAAGCGUUAAUCGGAAUUACUGGGCGUAAAGCGCGCGUAGGUGGUUUGUUAAGUCGGAUGUGAAAGCCCCGGGCUCAACCUGGGAACUGCAUCCAAAACUGGCAAGCUAGAGUACGGUAGAGGGUGGUGGAAUUUCCUGUGUAGCGGUGAAAUGCGUAGAUAUAGGAAGGAACACCAGUGGCGAAGGCGACCACCUGGACUGAUACUGACACUGAGGUGCGAAAGCGUGGGGAGCAAACA